GUCUCAGUUCGGAUUGGAGUCUGCAACCCGACUCCAUGAAGCUGGAUUCGCUAGUAAUCGCGCAUCAGCCACGGCGCGGUGAAUACGUUCCCGGGCCUUGUACACACCGCCCGUCAAGCCAUGGGAGCCGGGGGUGCUUGAAGUGCGUCGCCGCAAGGCGCGCCCUAGAGCAAAACCGGUGACUGGGGCUAAGUCGUAACAAGGUAGC
rnacentral:rRNA from 1 species